UUAUUUUGAUUUUUUUGUCCUCGCUUGUUCUCUUUUGGUAGAAAUACGCACAGUGGAGCAGGAUGGGAAGACCAUUAAACUUCAAAUUUGGGACACUGCUGGACAAGAACGGUUUAGGACAAUCACUAGCAGCUACUACCGUGGGGCUCAUGGCAUAAUAAUGUCUAUGAUGUGACAGACCAAGAAAGCUUCAAUAAUGUGAAUCAAUGGAUGAGUGAAAUUGAUCGUUAUGCUAGUGACAAUG